GUUAGGAAUAUUGGACAAUGGGCGCAAGCCUGAUCCAGCCAUGCCGCGUGAGUGAUGAAGGCCUUCGGGUUGUAAAGCUCUUUAGUCCACGAAUAUAAUGACUGUAGUGGAAGAAUAAGCCCCGGCUAACUCCGUGCCAGCAGCCGCGGUAAUACGAAGGGGGCGAGCGUUAUUCGGAAUCACUGGGCGUAAAGCGUGCGUAGGCUGUUUUGUAAGUCAGAAGUGAAAGCCCAGGGCUUAACCCUGGAAUUGCUUUUGAAACUACAAGACUCGAAUUCGGGAGAGGAUAGCGGAAUUGUCAGUGUAGCAGUGAAAUGCGUAGAUAUUGACAGGAGCACCAGUGGCGCAAGCGGCUAUCUGGACCGAUAUUGACGCUGAGGCACGAAAGCGUGGGGAGCAAACAGGAUUAGAAACCCGCGUAGUCC
rnacentral:rRNA from 1 species